ensembl:snoRNA small nucleolar RNA, C/D box 87
ACUGGCACAGUGAUGACAAGUUACUUUUUGCCGUUUACCCAGCUGAGGGUAUCUUUGAAGAAAUAACUUUAAGACUGAGAUGCCAGU